rnacentral:rRNA from 1 species
GCGCAGCAGUCGCGAAACCUCCGCAAUACACGAAAGUGUGACGGGGCCAUCCCGAGUGCCGUCCGCUGAGGACGGCUUUUCCCCAGUGUACAUAGCUGGGGGAAUAAGGAGAGGGCAAGCCUGGUGUCAGCCGCCGCGGUAAUACCAGCUCUCCGAGUGGUGGGGACGCUUAUUGGGCCUAAAGCAUCCGUAGCCGGCUGGGCAAGUCCUCCGUAUACACCGA